rnacentral:rRNA from 1 species
AGUUGAUCCUACCAGUAGUCAUAUGCUUGUCUCAAAGAUUAAGCC